GCAGAGUAGGCUUUGAAGCGUUAAGUGCCCGGUAAACAGGAAGUUGUUAUCGGGACGAAAAGAUGCAGUCUUGCGAUUUCAUUGCCGCAUUCCGCUGC
rnacentral:ncRNA from 1 species